rnacentral:rRNA from 1 species
UACGAAGGGGGCUAGCGUUGCUCGGAAUCACUGGGCGUAAAGGGUGCGUAGGCGGGUUUUAAGUCAGGGGUGAAAUCCUGGAGCUCAACUCCAGAACUGCCUUUGAUACUGAAGAUCUUGAGUCCGGGAGAGGUGAGUAGAACUGCGAGUGUAGAGGUGAAAUUCGUAGAUAUUCGCAAGAACACCAGUGGCGAAGGCGGCUCACUGGCCCGGUACUGACGCUGAGGCACGAAAGCGUGGGGAGCAAACAGG